CUCUCUCUCUCUCUCUCUCUUGCUUCCUCUAACGCUCUCUCUCUCUCUCUCUCUCUCUCUCUCUCUCUCUCUCUCUCUCUCUCUCUCUCUCUCUCUCUCUCUCUCUCUCUCUCUCUCUCUCUCUCUCUCUCUCUCUCUCUCUCUCUCUCUCUCUGUGUUUCUCUCUGUCUCUCUAUCUCUGUCUCUUUCUCUCUCUGUCUCUCUCUCUCUCUCUCUCUCACUUGCUUCCUCUCUUGCUCUCUCUCACUCUCUCUCCCCCUCUGACCUCUGACAGGAUGGGAUGUUGUAUAAACACAUUUGUCUAGGAAGUACAGGCUUACACACAUAUCACACACAUCAGCACAGCACACACCCACACUACCCUUCUGGAUGGCCCCUUCCAGGAGGCAUGACUCACAUCUCUAUCCAGCAUACAGCCCGGUCUGGUCUGAUCCUCCCCCCCCCCCCCCCCGGUCAGAGGGGCGUGGACCCCGACGGGGCUUCCUACUGGAGGACCUCCCUGACCCCAGGUGGACUGCUGUGGCUUUGCCACGAGCGGCUCCGCGUGUGCCAAUCCUGUGGACCUGCUGAGCGUGUCUGGGGGCCGGACAGACCCCAGAGGGCCCGUGUAGCUGGUCCCACAGACGCUGAGGGGGGCCCCACAUCGCCCCAAAGGCAUCCACAACACGUCCUCCUUCUCGGACACCUGCGGCCGUUCUCCGGACAGACGGAGCCACAGGACAGACGACUGACCUGCACCUCGGUGUUCACUAGCGUCUCGGUCGCUGCUCCACUCUGCUGCCUGUCUGACGCCUCUGUCGGCUCAACCCUCUCCAGCGUGACGGCGUGACGGCGGCUCCAAGGCCGUGACCGCGAGGGGACGCACACUACACCACAGCUCAGCAGGAUACGAAUGUGAACAACCAUCAGUGAGAUUGGUCCAGUGUGGAGGGAGAACGCUACAGACGCAGUCCAUGAAUCAGGCUGCACUGAUCCUUUGGGGCUAUGGCACCCCAUAAUGUCACGCUCACGCAGAAGUCUCCAGACGGUACGGAGCAGCUGUAGGAUUCAGUUCUGAAGUGGAAGAGCACUUUUUGGCACCACACUGGCCAGAGUUUGUUGUAUUGGACUACAGAAAGCGUAGCUUUAUGUUCUCUUAAGAAUUGGGGUGAAGGAGGGUUGAGAUUUCCCUCCUCCCGCUCAACUCUUCAGAAUGAGGGAUCUUUUCAUUAAUGUUGUCAGACACUAAUAAUAACAUGAAGAAGUAUUAUCAAAUCAUAGCGCAAGUUUCAAGUGUGUUCUAUAGUUCUCGUCCUAUGCUUUAUUCAGGCGAGGUGGAUAAAUAACGUGAUGAAUGCUCAACAUAUUUAUCAACUAAAAGUGGGGGUCAGAUGUCUGGCGCCAGGGAAAAUGUGUCCUCAGCUAACAGAGGGAACAACAUGAUGCAACACCAUAUCUACAUUUCUCAACAAACAAUCUGAGCCUGUCGGUGGCAAGAACAACAACUUUUAGAAUUUAGAGGAUGUACAUUGAUGGCUCGCUGUUGCUUGAAAUUGGAACAUUGCAGCUUGUUUCGCAGGUUACGGCUUGAGCAGUGACAUAUUAUACCACCAGGUGUGAGUGUUAUUAGCCGUUACAAGCCGUUUUGAAAAUAUGCCUCUUCUGACAUCACAAGUGGGCUUGUCCACCUAGAUGUGUGCUGGAUAGUCUACCAAUCUACCCAGUGGACGCAAACUUUGCUUAUCUAUCCGUCAUACAUCUAGGUGGACACGCCAACUUGUGUUGUGAUGUCAGAAGAGGCCGUUUUUCAAAACGGCUUGUAACUGCUAAUCACACUCACACCUGGUGGUAUAAUAUGUCACCUUUAAAGUCUUUGCUAAAUACUAGACAAAUUUAAAAAAUGGUUGUCCGCAAUACUCCCAAUGCACUCCGAAAUUAUGGGAAAACAGAGUCCAGGUAAAACAAAACCCUUCAAGGGUUGAACAAAAGGUAAACAUUGUUGCAGCACAGACCAGUGAGAAUGUAUCUUGUUAUGUAAAUAUGUCUUGUUUUGUGUCCAAUCACAAACCCUUAUUUUGGCAGUUGAUUCUGUCAGGCUUCCGGUGGAUGAUAUCUUGAUCAUUUGUCAUUUAUCGAAGAUACAAUUCCUGAGGGGUUCAGCUAUAGAGCUAUUUCUGUAGCAACCUGCAUUUUCCUUAUAAAUGUGUCAUGGAAAUUGCUAGGAACAGGUACACAAUUUGCUCAAGCUAACAUUGAACAACAAUUACAACGUCUCAUAUUGUUGUUCAAUGGCCCUCACAUUUCCCUCAGGCCUGUACGCCUAGCAGAAAGAGUUCUUUGAUGUUAAGCCAGGACUCAAAGCGUGUUUCAUUUUGAACCUAUUUAAUAACAUGGAUUAGGCUCCAGAAGUGCUUGUUCCGUCUAAGGUGUCAUUACGAGGUUUCCCCAUCCCCACGCCCAAAGACUGGUUUGAAGAAUUAAAUUCAUUAAAGGGGGCAUAUCAUACCACCAGGUGUGAGUGUGAUUAGCCAUUGAAAACGGCUUGUAAUGGCUAAUCACACUCACACCUGGUGGUAUGAUAGGUCCCCUUUAAGUGCUAAAGAUGUGUGAUGCAAUGCAAAUAAAAACAAUGCUCAUUAUUUUAUAUUUAAUUAUUAAUUGUGUUUAUUGUUUCGGUCUGUCUGUCUCUCUGUCUGUCUCCAUCAAUCUAUCCAGCAGUCAUCUAAAUGGUGUGUGUAUAAUAUAUUUUUUCACGUUGACAAAAUAAUACAGAACACAUUUAUAUUUUAACGUUGGUUACUAUCUCUACAUGAGUAUAUAUCAUUUAUACGAAGGCAGUAUGUAGAUCCGGUUUAUAUCAGAGCUGUCAAGCGAUUCAA